rnacentral:rRNA from 1 species
AUUGAACGCUGGCGGCAGGCUUAACACAUGCAAGUCGAGCGAGCGGCGGACGGGUGAGUAAUGUCUGGGAAACUGCCUGAUGGAGGGGGAUAACUACUGGAAACGGUAGCUAAUACCGCAUACCAUCAGAUGUGCCCAGAUGGGGUUAGCUAGUAGGUGGGGUAAGGGCUCACCUAGGCGACGAUCCCUAGCUGGUCUGAGAGGAUGACCGGCCACACUGGAACUGAGACACGGUCCAGACUCCUACGGUGGGCAGCAGUGGGGAAUAUUGCACAAUGGGCGCAAGCCUGAUGCAGCCAUGCCGCGUGUUUGAAGAAGGCCUUCGGGUUGUAAAGCACUUUCGGUAGCGAGGCGUUAACCACAGAAGAAGCACCGGCUAACUCCGUGCCAGCAGCCGCGGUAAUAC